rnacentral:piRNA from 1 species
UGAGACCAAUAGAAUACAGAUGUGAUGCCA